ACGGAGGGAGCAAGCGUUAUUCGGAAUCACUGGGCGUAAAGGACGCGUAGGCGGGUUAUUAAGUCAGAUGUGAAAUCCUAUGGCUCAACCAUAGAACUGCAUUUGAAACUGGUAACCUAGAGUAUGGAAGGGGAAGAUGGAAUUAGUGGUGUAGGGGUAAAAUCCGUAGAUAUCACUAGGAAUACCGAAAGCGAAGGCGAUCUUCUGGGACAUUACUGACGCUGAGGCGUGAAAGCGUGGGGAGCAAACAGG
rnacentral:rRNA from 1 species